ACGUUCAACGUCUGGACCAAUUCUUUUCAACUAACCAAACUGAAUGGCUAGCACUAGCAUCUCGUAAAUGUUUAACCAUCAUCAUACCUGUUCAAUGAAAUACACCAGUAGUUGUUCUGCAAGUUCAUGUUCGCCUGAUUGUGAAGCCGUUUCCAUACAGUCCUUGUACAUGUUGUCUUUCUUUGAUAAUGCAAUUGAUUGCUUCCAUCUGCCCGCUUUCUUGUAGAUA
rnacentral:sRNA from 1 species